GACGAACGCUGGCGGCGUGCUUAACACAUGCAAGUCGAACGGAAAGGCCCUGCUUUUGUGGGGUGCUCGAGUGGCGAACGGGUGAGUAACACGUGUGUAACCUGCCCUUGACUUUGGGAUAACUUCAGGAAACUGGGGCUAAUACCGGAUAGGAGCUCCUGCUGCAUGGUGGGGGUUGGAAAGUUUCGGCGGUUGGGGAUGGACUCGCGGCUUAUCAGCUUGUUGGUGGGGUAGUGGCUUACCAAGGCUUUGACGGGUAGCCGGCCUGAGAGGGUGACCGGGCACAUGGGGACUGAGAUACGGCCCAGACUCCUACGGGGGGCAGCAGUGGGGAAUAUUGCACAAUGGGCGGAAGCCUGAUGCAGCAACGCCGCGUGCGGGAUGACGGCCUUCGGGUUGUAAACCGCUUUCGCCUGUGACGAAGCGUGAGUGACGGUAAUGGGUAAAGAAGCACCGGCUAACUACGUG
rnacentral:rRNA from 1 species